UACGUAGGGGGCGAGCGUUAUCCGGAUUUAUUGGGCGUAAAGCGUGCGUAGGCGGUUUGUUAAGUCCAGAAUUAAAGCCCGAGGCUUAACCUCGGUUCGUUCUGGAAACUGGCAGACUAGAGUAUGGUAGAGGCAAAUGGAAUUCCUAGUGUAGCGGUGAAAUGCGUAGAUAUUAGGAGGAACACCAGUGGCGAAGGCGGCUUACUGGACUGUAACUGACGUUGAGGCUCGAAAGCGUGGGGAGCAAACAGG
rnacentral:rRNA from 1 species